GAUGAACGCUGGCGGCGUGCUUAACACAUGCAAGUCGAACGAUGAAGCCCAGCUUGCUGGGUGGAUUAGUGGCGAACGGGUGAGUAACACGUGAGUAACCUGCCCUUAACUCUGGGAUAAGCCUGGGAAACUGGGUCUAAUACCGGAUAGGAGCGUCCACCGCAUGGUGGGUGUUGGAAAGAUUUAUCGGUUUUGGAUGGACUCGCGGCCUAUCAGCUUGUUGGUGGGGUAAUGGCUCACCAAGGCGACGGCGGGUAGCCGGCCUGAGAGGGUGACCGGCCACACUGGGACUGAGACACGGCCCAGACUCCUACGGGAGGCAGCAGUGGGGAAUAUUGCACAAUGGGCGCAAGCCUGAUGCAGCGACGCCGCGUGAGGGAUGACGGCCUUCGGGUUGUAAACCUCUUUCAGUAGGGAAGAAGCGAAAGUGACGGUACCUGCAGAAGAAGCACCGGCUAACUACGUG
rnacentral:rRNA from 1 species